AACGAACGCUGGCGGCAGGCUUAACACAUGCAAGUCGAACGCUCGUAGCAAUACGGGAGUGGCGGACGGGUGAGUAACGCGUGGGAACGUGCCCUGAGGUACGGAAUAACUGCGGGAAACUGCAGCUAAUACCGUAUGAGCCCCGUGAGGGGGAAAGAUUUAUCGCCUUAGGAGCGGCCCGCGUCGGAUUAGCUAGUUGGUGGGGUAACGGCUUACCAAGGCUUCGAUCCGUAGCUGGUCUGAGAGGACGAUCAGCCACACUGGGACUGAGACACGGCCCAGACUCCUACGGGAGGCAGCAGUGGGGAAUCUUGCGCAAUGGGGGCAACCCUGACGCAGCCAUGCCGCGUGAAUGAUGAAGGCCUUAGGGUUGUAAAGUUCUUUUGCCCGUGACGAUGAUGACGGUAACGGGAGAAUAAGCUCCGGCUAACUUCGUGCCAGCGCCGCGGUAAUACGUCUACUG
rnacentral:rRNA from 1 species